rnacentral:lncRNA from 1 species
GCACUUUGGUCAAUUUGACUAAAGUUCGACAUUUUUAUUUUUCGAAUUUUCGGUAUAUUACAGUUGAAGAGGGUAUGAAUGUUAAAGUAUUUGAACACUAGAGUUAGUGUGUGUAACGUUGAAGAGGGUAUGAAUGUUAAAGUAUUUGAACACUAGAGUUAGUGUGUGGCAUCAAAGAGAAAAGUGUGACAUCAAAGAAUAAAAGCUAGAGUUAGCAUUAAAAGUGUGGCAUCAAAGAACAAUAGAGUUAGUGUAAUGACAUGAAUGAAAGUAAAGAAUGCAAAGAACUUGAGAUUGAGACACAAUGACAUACAACCUUAGAGCUAAGGGUCAUUUGUGCAUAAUUU